GCCUAACACAUGCAAGUCGAACGGAACUGUUUUGAAAGAUUUCUUCGGAAUGAAUUUGAUUUAGUUUAGUGGCGGACGGGUGAGUAACGCGUGAGUAACCUGCCUUCAAGAGGGGGAUAACAUUCUGAAAAGAAUGCUAAUACCGCAUGACAUAUCGGAACCACAUGGUUCUGAUAUCAAAGAUUUUAUCGCUUGAAGAUGGACUCGCGUCCGAUUAGUUAGUUGGUGAGGUAACGGCUCACCAAGACCGCGAUCGGUAGCCGGACUGAGAGGUUGAACGGCCACAUUGGGACUGGGACACGGCCCAGACUCCUACGGGAGGCAGCAGUGGGGGAUAUUGCGCAAUGGGGGCAACCCUGACGCAGCAACGCCGCGUGAAGGAUGAAGGUUUUCGGAUUGUAAACUUCUUUUAUUAAGGACGAAAAAUGACGGUACUUAAUGAAUAAGCUCCGGCUAACUACGUGCCAGCAGCCGCCGUAACAC
rnacentral:rRNA from 1 species